CGGGAUGUGGCGCAGUUGGCUAGCGCACCACGUUAGGGACGUGGGGGUCGGAUGUUCGAGUCAUCUCAUCCCGA
rnacentral:tRNA from 2 species